CUCAUCGGAAGAGGAUUUUGUUUGUAAGUCACCAAAUGAAUCAAAGGAAAGUAAUACUUUGUCAAGUCAAUCUUCUUCUGCUGUAGGCAAAAGUUCAUCUUUUGUAAAAUCUCAUUAUAAUGAUAGCUGUCUUCAAACUAAGAAAUCUGAAAGCAAUAAUUUAUCUGACAACAAGGAAGCAAAUAUCUCUCUUGUACAUGUCAUCAAAACAUAUCAUAAUGAAA